rnacentral:rRNA from 1 species
UACGUAGGGCGCAAGCGUUAUCCGGAAUUAUUGGGCGUAAAGAGAUCGUAGGCGGUUUGUCGCGUCUGCCGUGAAAGUCCGGGGCUCAACUCCGGAUCUGCGGUGGGUACGGGCAGACUAGAGUGAUGUAGGGGAGACUGGAAUUCCUGGUGUAGCGGUGAAAUGCGCAGAUAUCAGGAGGAACACCGGUGGCGAAGGCGGUUCUCUGGGCAUUACCUGACGCUGAGGAGCGAAAGUGUGGGGAGCGAACAGG